ACGAACGCUGGCGGCUGCUUAACACAUGCAAGUCGAACGGAGUGGCGAACGGGUGAGUAACGCGUGAGCAACCUGCCUAUGACAGCGGGAUAGCCUCGGGAAACCGGGAUUAAUACCGCAUAGUCAUAGAUGGGCUCGCGUCUGAUUAGCUAGUUGGUGAGAUAACAGCCCACCAAGGCGACGAUCAGUAGCCGGUCUGAGAGGAUGGGCGGACACAUUGGAACUGGGACACGGUCCAGACUCCUGCGGGAGGCAGCAGAGGGGAAUAUUGCACAAUGGGGGAAACCCUGAUGCAGCGACGCCGCGUGAACGAAGAAGGUAUGCGUAUCGUAAAGGUCUGUACUAUGGGAAGCGGUACCAUAGAGAAAAGCUCCGGCUAAAUACGUGCCAGCAGCCGCGGUGAUUC
rnacentral:rRNA from 1 species